CACAUCGCCACGUGCAUUCUUUCACUUUAUUUUUCCAUUCAAAAUGGCCAGUCGCAUUUGCUCUCUUAAUUCCCAACUAAAAUAUAAUAAAAAGAAUGCCACGCGGUAGCAGCGUCUAUCUGCAUUACAAAGAAAUGGAAAAUUCAAUUUUUGAUGGUUUUUACCUGAGAUAUCACACGUGUCGAAAAGUAAGAGAACCUAUUGGAGCUUCGGCUUUUUAAACACGGAUCUUGCCUUAGAUUGACGAGCACAAGAUAAAUUCAGCAAGAUGGAGUGCUCACUAAAUUCUGGGGAGAACAAAGUUCAGGAACAAUCCAGUGGACGAUGGUUAAUUCGGACUCAUUUGCUGAAAAAUCAGAAACCUUUUUUUGGCUUUCAACCAAAGGAAAACUCAAAUAACCAUAUGGAUAUCUUGGCUUAGAUUGAUGACUACGCAAGAGAAACUGAGAAAUGCUGAGAGAAAUCUAAAAACAAGAAACAAUUUUUAAAAUUUAUUGGUUAGGAUGCUAGCUUUGGCGAAAAACUUAUCAAGUAACAUGGAUUUCGGAAUAGAUGUGAUGAACAAAUGGUUUCUAAAUUUCCUGCUUAAUCUUCAAUACGAUAAAGCGGGGAAAACAGCACUUAAACACUUCAAUUUUCGUUGACAAAUUGAUAUGUUGACCCAAUAUUAAUCAAAUAAAACAACUGAAGAAAAACUGAUAAAUAAGACAUGACGGGAAAGCCAAUGAGAAUGUUUAAUGGCACGACAGCUAUUACUUACAGAUGACUUCAAAAUAAAUUAAGAUACCUGGAUUUAUGCUUUGGCUUCACAGUAAUCAUUGAAGAUGGCUUAAAAAGUAAUAAAGAUGUCUGGAUGUAUAUACCGGAAGAUGUUUAUCUGCAAGCCAACCUUAUUAAAGGCUUAAUCGGAAUUGUUUUUAACUAGUAACUGAUCCUUCUAUGAACUUUGUUACAACAUACAAGGUGAUAAUACUCCAAUACCAACCCUGGUUACUUUGCUAUGUGAUUCAUCUGAGUUGUUUUGGUUCUUGACAAAAACCACCAACUGAUUCUAAAAAUAUAACUGAUGUAUCUUAUCGAUGAAUAAAAGUACAAAGAUUUUAUUUAAUAUAA